AGGACCUGGCUUGGUUGGGAAGUGGGGCCUGGGACCCUGGGACCCUGUGCUCCGACCCCACCUGCAAGGCUGCGCCCUCCGCAGGGGGCCGUCCGGGGGGGCCCUGCCCGCGGGUCACUGCCAGGAUCCUGCAAGCAGCCAGCGGGCACCGCUGUCACCACAUUUCACACUCUGAGGAGCUCUGGGCACAGCCUCCAGGGAAAGCCUGGCUGCCGACUCUGGCCCCCUGACUCCUGAAUCCUGCGAGUCACACGGCGGCACGGCCUGCAUAUCGGGGAGGAUGGCAGGCUGGGCUGUCCUGAGGUGACCAGGGAAUGCCAGACGCUUUGGGGUGAGGGUUUGCUUGCCGGCUUUGGGGCAGGCCAAGGGAUUCUGCAGGGGCAGUAGGUCCCCGCGAUCUUCUGGGGAGGGGCCGGCUGCCGAAUCUCUGGGAUUCAAAUGUGGAAAACCCACAGGGGGCAUUCCCGUGAUGACUGAAAGAAGAAGUGGCAGCGUCACAGCUGAAGGGAGGCUGUCAGAGUGACCAGAGUGGCCAGUCCAGAGGAGACGGGUGGGGCAAAGUCUCCAGGAGGCCAGGAGAUGCCUUCAAGAAAAGAAAUGGAAAGGAGUGAUGACCUGAUGCGUGUGAGAACACGGGGACGAGCCUUGCGGCUCCGUGGGAGAGCUUGGGUGAGGACCACCCGUGCCGCGGCGACCUCUGAUCGUCACCCAAGCUGUGCCCUCCCAUUUCACGGCAGGGAGAUGGUGAGAGGUGGAGCAGCCCC
rnacentral:lncRNA from 10 species